rnacentral:rRNA from 1 species
AUUGAACGCUGGCGGCAGGCCUAACACAUGCAAGUCGAACGAGUGGCGGACGGGUGAGUAAUGUCUGGGAAACUGCCUGAUGGAGGGGGAUAACUACUGGAAACGGUAGCUAAUACCGCAUACCAUCAGAUGUGCCCAGAUGGGAUUCGCUAGUUGGUGGGGUAACGGCUCACAAAGGCGACGAUCCCUAGCUGGUCUGAGAGGAUGACCGGCCACACUGGAACUGAGACACGGUCCAGCCUCCUACGGGAGGUAGCAGUGGGGAAUAGUGCACAAUUGGCGCAAGCCUGAUGCAGCCAUGCCGCGUGUCUGAAGAAGGGCUUAGGGUUGUAAAGUACUGUCAGCGGGGAGGCGUUACCCGCAGAAGAAGCACCGGCUAACUCCGUGCCAGCAGCCGCGGUAAUUC